rnacentral:rRNA from 1 species
UACGUAGGGGGCUAGCGUUGUCCGGAAUCAUUGGGCGUAAAGCGCGUGUAGGCGGUCCGGUAAGUCCGCUGUGAAAGUCGGGGGCUCAACCCUCGAAUGCCGGUGGAUACUGUCGGGCUAGAGUCCGGAAGAGGCGAGUGGAAUUCCUGGUGUAGCGGUGGAAUGCGCAGAUAUCAGGAGGAACACCGAUAGCGAAGGCAGCUCGCUGGGACGGUACUGACGCUGAGGUGCGAAAGCGUGGGGAGCGAACAGG